UCGAUCGGAUCUCUCUGGCCAGGCCAAAGUCGGCUAUCUUGAUGAGAUCUGGGCCGGAGCAGAGCAAGUUCUCCGGUUUCAGGUCGCGGUGGAAAAAUCCAUGACGGUGCAUGAAGGCCAGACCAGUGGAAAGCAGCUCACCUGGAAGAGAAUACUCUUGAGCUCCGGUUCGGCUUAACGAUGUUCGGGUGGGACAACUUCUUCAAGGACUAAGGAGAAUAGAGUAUAUUAGUAGUUACGCAAGAUGCACCAAUUCAAGGAGGAGGAGGAGCAUACCUUAACCUCGCGCAGAUUCAUGGCC